rnacentral:misc_RNA from 1 species
GAUGAAGAACGCAGUGAAAUGCGAUAAGUAAUGUGAAUUGCAGAAUUCAGUGAAUCAUCGAAUCUUUGAACGCACCUUGCGCCCUUUGGCUAUUCCGAAGGGCAUGCCUGUUUGAGUAUCAUGAACACCUCAACUCUUCAUGGUUUUCCAUGAAGGGCUUGGACUUUGGGGGUCUUGCUGGCCUUUAGUCAGCUCCUCUCAAACGAAUCAGCUUUCCAGUGUUUGGCAGCGUCACAGGUGUGAUAACUAUCUACGCUUGUGGUUUUCUGCCAGGUAAUCCUCAGUGAUGGGGAUUCGCUGGGGCUUAUAAAUGUCUCUCCUCAGCGAAGACAGCUUUGUGAACGUUUGAUCUCAAAUCAGGUAGGACUACCCGCUGAACUUAAGCAUAUCAAUAAGCGGAGGA